UACGUAGGGUGCGAGCGUUAAUCGGAAUUACUGGGCGUAAAGCGUGCGCAGGCGGUUGUGCAAGACAGAUGUGAAAUCCCCGGGCUCAACCUGGGAACUGCAUUUGUGACUGCACGGCUGGAGUGCGGCAGAGGGGGAUGGAAUUCCGCGUGUAGCAGUGAAAUGCGUAGAUAUGCGGAGGAACACCGAUGGCGAAGGCAAUCCCCUGGGCCUGCACUGACGCUCAUGCACGAAGGCUAGGGUAGCGAACGGG
rnacentral:rRNA from 1 species